GGCCCACAAAAGAAGGGCAGAAGAAGACAAAGGAGGAAAACAAGUGAAGGAAAUCCAAUGCCAAAAUGUCUCAAUAUUCAUAUUCAUAUUCAUAACAAAGAGAUUAUUAUAUUAAUUACAUGCUCAUAGGACUUUCUGGAUCAUUGAGUGCUGCAAUAGCUGUUUCAAUUUGUAUCUUCAAAUGAUCUUUCUCUUCUUCAUUUGCCUCAAUAAAGACAGUCUUGAGAAGCCUCCCUGAGACGCUUGUGAUAUUGGCUGUAAUGAUCUUAAGCUUCAAAGAUUCAAAUGCCUCACACAGUUUCACCAUUGUAUCUGUUCUUUUACUACAUGUCAAGCUCACUAGCAGAGUCUUUUCUCCUAUGUAUUCAACGCUCAUCUCAAGAUCUUCAAUUGGGCAAGUUCUAGAGCCACCAGAAUCAUAGAAUUGGUCAAUUUUCUUCUUCUUGGAUCUCAACAAAACAGGCAACUCUUGCUCAUACUCAUAACCAGGACUCUUCUUCAAUUUCCCAGAUUCCAAUUCCAUUAUCUCAGCUUGGAUUCUUCUCUCUUGUUCAUGCAGUUCUUGGAUGUAAUCAAUAGCAUCCUUGAUGAUGGAAGCUUUGUCCAUCUUGCUAAUGUUGGGGACCAC
rnacentral:misc_RNA from 1 species